CCCUACGGGAGGCAGCAGUGAGGAAUAUUGGACAAUGGGCGCAAGCCUGAUCCAGCCAUGCCGCGUGCAGGAAGAAGCAUCUAUGGUGUGUAAACUGCUUUUGUACAGGAAGAAACAUCCCGACGUGUCGGGACUUGACGGUACUGUAAGAAUAAGGAUCGGCUAACUCCGUGCCAGCAGCCGCGGUAAUACGGAGGAUCCAAGCGUUAUCCGGAAUCAUUGGGUUUAAAGGGUCCGUAGGCGGUUUGGUAAGUCAGUGGUGAAAGCCCGCAGCUCAACUGUGGAACGGCCAUUGAUACUGCCAAACUUGAAUUACAAGGAAGUAACUAGAAUAUGUAGUGUAGCGGUGAAAUGCUUAGAUAUUACAUGGAAUACCAAUUGCGAAGGCAGGUUACUACUUGUGGAUUGACGCUGAUGGACGAAAGCGUGGGGAGCGAACAGGAUUAGAUACCCCGGUAGUCCA
rnacentral:rRNA from 1 species